rnacentral:rRNA from 1 species
GAUGAACGCUGGCGGCGUGCCUAAUACAUGCAAGUCGAGCGAACAGACGAGGAGCUUGCUCCUUCGACGUUAGCGGCGGACGGGUGAGUAACACGUAGGUAACCUACCUAUAAGACUGGGAUAACUUCGGGAAACCGGAGCUAAUACCGGAUAAUAUUUCGAGCCGCAUGGUUCGAUAGUGAAAGAUGGCUUUGCUAUCACUUAUAGAUGGAUCUGCGCCGUAUUAGCUAGUUGGUAAGGUAACGGCUUACCAAGGCAACGAUACGUAGCCGACCUGAGAGGGUGAUCGGCCACACUGGAACUGAGACACGGUCCAGACUCCUACGGGACGCAGCAGUAGGGAAUCUUCCGCAAUGGGCGAAAGCCUGACGGAGCAACGCCGCGUGAGUGAUGAAGGUCUUCGGAUCGUAAAACUCUGUUAUUAGGGAAGAACAAACGUGUAAGUAACUGUGCACGUCUUGACGGUACCUAAUCAGAAAGCCACGGCUAACUACGUG